rnacentral:rRNA from 1 species
AGUGAACGCUGGCGGCAUGCCUAACACAUGCAAGUCGAGCGACAGCACGGUGAGCUUUUGCUCCUACGGUUGGCGGCUGACGGGUGGGUGACACGUGCAUCAGCAUCUUCUUUUUCGUGGGUAACAACGUGGGGCCGCUUCCGCUACUACAGCAUACGUCCUACGGCUUGAAUCAGUGGAUCUUCGCAGCUUUCGUGAUUCAAUUAGCCGAAGCCGCAUUAGCUAGUUGGCUGGGUAAGGGCACACCAAGGCGACGAUGCGUAGCUGAUCUGAGAGGAUGAUCAGCCACACUGGAACUGAGACACGGUCCAGACUCCUACGGGAGGCAGCAGUGGGGAAUAUUCGACAAUGGGCGCAAGCCUGACCGAGCCACACCGCGUGAGUGAAGAAGGUCUUCGGAUCGUAAAGCUCUGUUGUUGGGGAAGAACAGAUGUGGAUUUAACCCCCGCCGUUCUGACGGUACCUAAACAGUAAGCACCGGCUAACUUCGUG